GCGUUCAGCGGACGCGCGCGGCCUCGAUCUCUGGACUCGUCACCUGCCCCUCCCCCUCCCGCCGCCGUCACCCAGGAAACCGGCCGCAAUCGCCGGCCGACCUGAAGCUGGUUUCAUGGCAGCCUCAAAGAAGGCAGUUUUGGGGCCAUUGGUGGGGGCGGUGGACCAGGGCACCAGUUCGACGCGCUUUUUGGUUUUCAAUUCAAAAACAGCUGAACUACUUAGUCAUCAUCAAGUAGAAAUAAAACAAGAGUUCCCAAGAGAAGGAUGGGUGGAACAGGACCCUAAGGAAAUUCUACAUUCUGUCUAUGAGUGUAUAGAGAAAACAUGUGAGAAACUUGGACAGCUCAAUAUUGAUAUUUCCAACAUAAAAGAUAACCCUACCUCCUGCUUCAUGGAGAAAGUUGAGGGUCUGCGGCCUUAAAUCCUCACCUUCCUGUUGCUGUGCUUAAUAUCUGGAUCUCCUGCCAACUUUCCUUCAUCACAAGGGCAGCAAUAGCCUUCUGCCCCACUUGGAGCUCCUCCCUCCACUUGUGCUGCUAUUGGUGUCAGCAACCAGAGGGAAACCACUGUAGUCUGGGACAAGAUAACUGGAGAGCCUCUCUACAAUGCUGUGGUGUGGCUUGAUCUAAGAACCCAGUCUACCGUUGAGAGUCUUAGUAAAAGAAUUCCAGGAAAUAAUAACUUUGUCAAGUCCAAGACAGGCCUUCCACUUAGCACUUACUUCAGUGCAGUGAAACUUCGUUGGCUCCUUGACAAUGUGAGAAAAGUUCAAAAGGCCGUUGAAGAAAAACGAGCUCUUUUUGGGACUAUUGAUUCAUGGCUUAUUUGGAGUUUGACAGGAGGAGUCAAUGGAGGUGUCCACUGUACAGAUGUAACAAAUGCAAGUAGGACUAUGCUUUUCAACAUUCAUUCUUUGGAAUGGGAUAAACAACUCUGCGAAUUUUUUGGAAUUCCAAUGGAAAUUCUUCCAAAUGUCCGGAGUUCUUCUGAGAUCUAUGGCCUAAUGAAAAUCUCUCAUAGCGUGAAAGCUGGGGCCUUGGAAGGUGUGCCAAUAUCUGGGUGUUUAGGGGACCAGUCUGCUGCAUUGGUGGGACAAAUGUGCUUCCAGAUUGGACAAGCCAAAAAUACGUAUGGAACAGGAUGUUUCUUACUAUGUAAUACAGGCCAUAAGUGUGUAUUUUCUGAUCAUGGCCUUCUCACCACAGUGGCUUACAAACUUGGCAGAGACAAACCAGUAUAUUAUGCUUUGGAAGGUUCUGUAGCUAUAGCUGGUGCUGUUAUUCGCUGGCUAAGAGACAAUCUUGGAAUUAUAAAGACCUCAGAAGAAAUUGAAAAACUUGCUAAAGAAGUAGGUACUUCUUAUGGCUGCUACUUCGUCCCAGCAUUUUCGGGGUUAUAUGCACCUUAUUGGGAGCCCAGCGCAAGAGGGAUAAUCUGUGGACUCACUCAGUUCACCAAUAAAUGCCAUAUUGCUUUUGCUGCAUUAGAAGCUGUUUGUUUCCAAACUCGAGAGAUUUUGGAUGCCAUGAAUCGAGACUGUGGAAUUCCACUCAGUCAUUUGCAGGUAGAUGGAGGAAUGACCAGCAACAAAAUUCUUAUGCAGCUACAAGCAGACAUUCUGUAUAUACCAGUAGUGAAGCCCUCAAUGCCCGAAACCACUGCACUGGGUGCGGCUAUGGCGGCAGGGGCUGCAGAAGGAGUCGGCGUAUGGAGUCUCGAACCCGAGGAUUUGUCUGCCGUCACGAUGGAGCGGUUUGAACCUCAGAUUAAUGCGGAGGAAAGUGAAAUUCGUUAUUCUACAUGGAAGAAAGCUGUGAUGAAGUCAAUGGGUUGGGUUACAACUCAAUCUCCAGAAAGUGGUGACCCUAGUAUCUUCUGUAGUCUGCCCUUGGGCUUUUUUAUAGUGAGUAGCAUGGUAAUGUUAAUCGGAGCAAGGUACAUCUCAGGUAUUCCAUAAAACCUACCAACUCAUGGAUUCCCAAGAUGUGAGCUUUUUACAUAAUGAAAGAACCCAGCAAUUCUGUCUCUUAAUGCAAUGACACUAUUCAUAGACUUUGAUUUUAUUUAUAAGCCACUUGCUGCAUGACCCUCCAAGUAGACCUGUGGCUUAAAAUAAAGAAAAUGCAGCAAAAAGAAUGCUAUAGAAAUAUUUGGUGGUUUUUUUUUUUUUUAAACAUCCACAGUUAAGGUUGGGCCAGCUACCUUUGGGGCUGACCCCCUCCAUUGCCAUAACAUCCUGCUCCAUUCCCUCUAAGAUGUAGGAAGAAUUCGGAUCCUUACCAUUGGAAUCUUCCAUCGAACAUACUCAAACACUUUUGGACCAGGAUUUGAGUCUCUGCAUGACAUAUACUUGAUUAAAAGGUUAUUACUAACCUGUUAAAAAUCAGCAGCUCUUUGCUUUUAACAGACACCCUAAAAGUCUUCUUUUCUACAUAGUUGAAGACAGCAACAUCUUCACUGAAUGUUUGAAUAGAAACCUCUACUAAAUUAUUAAAAUAGACAUUUAGUGUUCUCACAGCUUGGAUAUUUUUCUGAAAAGUUAUUUGCCAAAACUGAAAUCCUUCAGAUGUUUUCCAUGGUCCCACUAAUUAUAAUGACUUUCUGUCUGGAUCUUAUAGGAAAAGAUACUUUCUUUUUUCUUCCAUCUUUCCUUUUUAUAUUUUUUACUUUGUAUGUAUAACAUACAUGCCUAUAUAUUUUAUACACUGAGGGUAGCCCAUUUAUAAAUUAAGAGCACAUUAUAUUCAGAAGGUUCUAACAGGGCUGGUCUUAAGUGAACCACUGUGUAUAUAAAUAUGUUGGAAAACAGCUGUAUACAUUUUUGGGCAACGGUUAUGCAUAAUAUUUACCAGGAGAAUUUUUUUCUUAACAAGCCAACAUUUAAAAUUUAUGUUUUAUGUCAAUAAAAGAAAAUAUACUUUAUUGUGACUUCAACUAUAUUUCUUAUCCCUUACAUUUUUAUUUAAUUGUCUUAGCUUAAAAAAAGAAGAAACUGUGGAAUACUACAGUAAAUAUUGUUUUCAAACACAAGCAAUAAUUCAAAUAGUUAUUUUUCUUUUGAAUUAAUUUUAGACAUAUUUUGGAUCCUAUUGAGGGGAUAAGAGGAUGUCAAAAAAGUUAAAUACCUAAGUAGAAAAAAAUAUAGAAAUAAAGCCAAGAAUCUCUUUCAGUUCAAAUGUUAUCAAUUGUUAAUAAGAAAUUGCUAUCUGGGAUGACAGAAUUACCUCUGCUUAGUAUCUCAUUAUAACUGAAAGAAGGUUUAUCAUUACAAAUACCUUCCAAUGAAACCAAGAAUUUCUCAAAAUAUUUAAUGUCACAUAUUAUAAGAAGUUACCUAAUCCUGCUUCUUAACAUCAAUUUUUAAAAAUAUCUUAAAAUUACUUUGUUUUGUAGUAAACAGUGAAGAAAAGAUUGCCUCCUAAUUAUUUUUUUCAAUGAGUGCUGAAUGGGAAAACAUUUAUAUCUUACUAUAAAAGGUUCUGUUUUGUUUGGAAUCAAUGGUAGCUUUAUUGACUGUUCUGAUUGUGCUGUUUCUAAUUUAUUGAAUCUGCUAGGUUUUAUUGAUGCAGCCACCACUUAAGUGACAUAAAUAUUAUAGAAAGGUACUGUGAAAUGAUCACUUUGUGGCAGGGGUACUUUUAAACAUAAAUGUUUCUACAAAAGUAGGUUGAGUUCAUUGUAAAUAAUUGUGAAAGCCACUGUUCAAAUAAUUUUAAGAUUACAUUAAUUUUUCUAUAAAUUGGAAGAUUUAUAAAUGUUUGAAAUUGUACACAUUGAUAUUUAAUGACAAAUUUACUUAAAAUAAAUUGACCCCUUGUUCUUACUUGCAUUUCUCAUUUACAGACUAGAACUUAGUUGAAAGUUAAAUUAAGAAAGAUGUUUCAGAGGCCGGGCACGGUGGCUGACGCCUGUAAUCCCAGCACUUUGGGAGGCCGAGGUGGGCAGAUCACCUGAGGUCAGGAGUUCGGGACUAGCCUAACCGACAUGGAGAAACCCUAUCUCUACUAAAAAAAAAAAAAGAUGUUUCAGGACAUGUGAAACUUGGCUGUUAGCGCUUGAUAGGGCACACUCUGAAGAGUUAACCAACAGCCAAAGAAGUAAUUUCUGUAAUGAUGAACACUUUAAUCAUUCUAUUAGAAGAAACUACACUGUCCCAUCUCAGCAUUUGCAAAAAAUAAUGUUGGUAAGGUCAGCAGCCAUUAUCAACAGGGCCUUGCAUGGCUAACUUUGACCACCAUUUUUCUCUCAACCUGAUAGGCAACACCUCAAUCCUUUGUUCUCCAACUAAUCAGUAAAAUAAGUAAUGCAUCUCUGCUUCUGUAAUGAUAUCUUAGAAUUUUUAGUAUGUUUCUUUUGAAGUGCCCAAAGCCCAAUUCUUUGGGAUAUCUUUUGGGUAUCUGGUAUCAUGUGGGAGUGAAGAAAGAAAGUUUUUGGAGAAACCAACAAAUGAAAGCUGUGAUAGCACAGAAGCUAAUGGCAUUGACAGUGGAGUAGGUAGUAUUUAAUCUGUAGUGUUUACAACAUAGUAGAUAGAAGUACAAAAAUUUUUUUAACUAUAACUCUUUAAUAGCUUGUUUUAUCUAGUAAUAUUUAAAUAAUGAAGUUUCCUUGAUCCUUUGCUUUUGCAACCUAACAACUUUAAUAAUAAGUUCACACAAUAAACAAAUUAGUAGAAAA